rnacentral:rRNA from 1 species
UACGUAGGGGGCAAGCGUUGUCCGGAAUUAUUGGGCGUAAAGAGCGUGUAGGCGGUCCGGUAAGUCAGCUGUGAAAGUCAAGGGCUCAACCCUUGAAUGCCGGUUGAUACUGUCGGGCUAGAGUCCGGAAGAGGCGAGUGGAAUUCCCGGUGUAGCGGUGAAAUGCGCAGAUAUCGGGAGGAACACCAAUGGCGAAGGCAGCUUGCUGGGACGGUACUGACGCUGAGGCGCGAAAGCGUGGGGAGCAACAGG